rnacentral:lncRNA from 7 species
AGUUUUGGGGACUGCAAAGCUAAGAUGCUGAUCACAAACAACCACAUGGCUGCUUCACUAUCUAAUAAGGUGGCUUUGAUGUUCUGAUUGAAGACUGUUUGAGCCUGCUGGUGCUGCAAGGAGAGCAGGAGAAGUAAAGGUCUUUGCUCCUCUCAUCUCGGGUCCUCCUGUCAGCAGCCUUUCUACCAUCCAAAGCUGGAGCCAGCAUCCUCGAAUGAGUGCUGUUGCCACUGCUUCAUUUCAUUCUAGGAUGAAACAGAAUGGCAGAGGAAUUUUCUCCUGCUGAUAAUCCUCUUUGUGAAACAGUGCUAUGCCAAGUGCUCAGGACGCUGUUUCUUCAUCAAAGUCCAGGGAUGGAUUAGCCCACUGUCAUAUAAUCUGUGGCGCUGCAUGGUUUCCUCUUCACUGGACCACUGAGAGACUCAACACUGCAAACUCAGUCUAAAACACUUUGGAAUAAAAUGUCCUAU